rnacentral:rRNA from 1 species
CCACCUGAAUCCAUUCCGAACUCAGAAGUGAAACACGUUAGCGUCGAUGGUAGUGUGGGGCUUCCCCAUGUGAGAGUAGAACACCGCCAGGC